rnacentral:rRNA from 2 species
CGGGGGGGGCGGCCUACCAUGCAAGUCGAGCGGUAACAGGGGUAGCUUGCUACCCGCUGACGAGCGGCGGACGGGUGAGUAAUGCAUAGGAAUUUACCCGAUAGUGGGGGAUAACCUGGGGAAACCCAGGCUAAUACCGCAUACGUCCUACGGGAGAAAGGGGGCUUCGGCUCCCGCUAUCGGAUGAGCCUAUGCCGGAUUAGCUGGUUGGUGAGGUAAUGGCUCACCAAGGCGACGAUCCGUAGCUGGUCUGAGAGGAUGAUCAGCCACAUCGGGACUGAGACACGGCCCGAACUCCUACGGGAGGCAGCAGUGGGGAAUAUUGGACAAUGGGCGCAAGCCUGAUCCAGCCAUGCCGCGUGUGUGAAGAAGGCCCUCGGGUUGUAAAGCACUUUCAGCGAGGAAGAACGCCUGGCGGUUAAUACCCGCCAGGAAAGACAUCACUCGCAGAAGAAGCACCGGCUAACUCCGUGCCAGCAGCCGCGGUAAUACGGAGGGUGCAAGCGUUAAUCGGAAUUACUGGGCGUAAAGCGCGCGUAGGUGGCUUGAUAAGCCGGUUGUGAAAGCCCCGGGCUCAACCUGGGAACGGCAUCCGGAACUGUCAGGCUAGAGUGCAGGAGAGGAAGGUAGAAUUCCCGGUGUAGCGGUGAAAUGCGUAGAGAUCGGGAGGAAUACCAGUGGCGAAGGCGGCCUUCUGGACUGACACUGACACUGAGGUGCGAAAGCGUGGGUAGCAAACAGGAUUAGAUACCCUGGUAGUCCACGCCGUAAACGAUGUCGACCAGCCGUUGGGUGCCUAGCGCACUUUGUGGCGAAGUUAACGCGAUAAGUCGACCGCCUGGGGAGUACGGCCGCAAGGUUAAAACUCAAAUGAAUUGACGGGGGCCCGCACAAGCGGUGGAGCAUGUGGUUUAAUUCGAUGCAACGCGAAGAACCUUACCUACUCUUGACAUCCUGCGAACUGGUGAGAGAUCACUGGGUGCCUUCGGGAACGCAGAGACAGGUGCUGCAUGGCUGUCGUCAGCUCGUGUUGUGAAAUGUUGGGUUAAGUCCCGU